AAGCCUUUUGGCGCUGCUUGUCUCCUUUGGAGAGCUGCAAGCACGGCUACAAGAACACACGCGUACCACAUGGUCAAGUGCACAGGCAUAGAUCUUUUCUCCACAGUGUGGCUUCCUUAACUGGCUUCUCGUGGCCACCAGCGUGCACAUCUUUUCUUUGCUGCAAAAAAAAAGGAAAUCCUAGACUCGCAGGAGAAUAUAUACAUAUACAAGGGUGCUGCUUCUGCGUACUGUAGACUGAGCUUGUGUGGGUGUGGACGCGUCAGCCCUCACGUUCUCUCUUUCUUUUCACCUCCUCUGGCCUUUAAAAACCGUCUUCCCCAAGGAAGAGAUGCGUGUUCGCACCUACCACAAGCAUGCUAUCCAGCGCAACAGCCCUGCUCUGCAAGGCCUCCUCGCCUUGCACACGAUGUUCUCCGUUUUCUACUCCGCCCCCGUCUGGUUCACCUACCUUGGCAUCCGCUGGCACGUGGCCAGCGUCACGUCGCAGCAGCGAAUAUGGAUGAUCUGCGUGCUCAUCAUUUGGUUCUGCACGGAGAUACUGCGUCUCCACCUUGGGUGUCUGGCCAACAAGCGAACACUCUUUGGCGAACUUGUCGCAUUCCUGACUAUGACCCUCGUUCCACAGCUCCUGCUCGUCUGUGUUCUUUUGGGCUUUCUGCCGGAGUGCACCGACUUGGAGUUUAGCGUGUGUGUCACGCAGAUCCUGCUGUUGGUGCUGGAGUGCCUCACGGCGAUGCAGCUGUUGAUGCGGGUGACGCGCAACAACGUCGUUGACUUUUACGUCUCCCUCGGCUCGCCCUACUGCUGACACGGAAAGCAGCGCUGCUGUGAGGGAGUGGCAGUGGAAUUCUUCACACAGGAACCGCUCGCAUGCAUACUGGCCGCGGCACAUAAGGAAGCCGGGGGGGGGGCAACGAGCGGUGGCAGUAGUGCCGAGUCUCUUGUACAGUUGUUCUCUCCUCUUUCUGCUGUUGUGUUCUCUAUCCCGCGGACCGGACAUCUCUCUCUCUCUUCCUAUUAACAGCCUUUGAGGAGAAUGGCAAGCAGACCGACCUUCUACAGUGCACACCGCACCAAAAAAAAAGAAUUGUGUCAACUGGCAAAGAAAAAAAGUGAGCGAAGCUGAGAAUUGCUGAGUUUCAUGAACCUUUUCACGGAACCGAGCGCCUAUCGUUGAGGCACAAGACACGCAGCCUCGCCAGUCGCAUCUAGCGCGUUGCCUCACAGGCUUGCGGAUGACGUCGGAGUGAAGCGAAUCAGCAGCGGAGGACAUAGCUCAUUGUGCUCAUUUUUUUUUUGUGAUGUACUCCUCCUACGUUCGCCGUCGUCACCGUCUCGUCCUCUAACUGCCCCUCCUUCCCCUCCCCUCAACGAGGCCGUUUCCUUGAUGUACACUUCCGCCGCGUAUGGUUGCUGGUUCUUAUUUCUGUACAAG
rnacentral:misc_RNA from 1 species